rnacentral:lncRNA from 1 species
GUGAGAGGGAGGUUGGCAGUGGAACUUGACUUGGAGGAGCUAGAAUGUCAGACAUCAGACUGAUUCCCUAAGAUGAUCAUCUGGGUUCAUUGAUCUCUGAAAAAAAUCCAGAAGUACUCCUCAAGAACAAACUAAAGUCCUCAAAUGAGAGUCAAAUGGGUCAUGUGGUUUGGAGAACGGGGAUGGAGAAGAGGUUGGGAGGAAGAGUCAUCCCAGGGGGCCCAUUAACACUUUUCCAGAGCUCUCUUCACCAUACCACAAACCACAAACUCAUCCCACCAGAAUCAGGACACAAGAAAGAGGAAUCACAAGCCUGAAGACUGAUACAAGCAAUACAGAUCUUCCUAAGCCUAGAUUCAGAUUGGUAAGGAAACUUGGAGGUCUGCUAGUCCAAUUUACUUCCAUUAAAAAUGAAG